UCCUCCAAGGCUAAAUACUCCUGACUGACCGAUAGUGAACCAGUACCGUGAGGGAAAGGCGAAAAGAACCCCGGCGAGGGGAGUGAAAAAGAACCUGAAACCGUGUACGUACAAGCAGUGGGAGCCUCUUUAUGGGGUGACUGCGUACCUUUUGUAUAAUGGGUCAGCGACUUAUAUUCUGUAGCAAGGUUAACCGAAUAGGGGAGCCGAAGGGAAACCGAGUCUUAACUGGGCGUUAAGUUGCAGGGUAUAGACCCGAAACCCGGUGAUCUAGCCAUGGGCAGGUUGAAGGUUGGGUAACACUAACUGGAGGACCGAACCGACUAAUGUUGAAAAAUUAGCGGAUGACUUGUGGCUGGGGGUGAAAGGCCAAUCAAACCGGGAGAUAGCUGGUUCUCCCCGAAAGCUAUUUAGGUAGCGCCUCGUGAAUUCAUCUCCGGGGGUAGAGCACUGUUUCGGCAAGGGGGUCAUCCCGACUUACCAACCCGAUGCAAACUGCGAAUACCGGAGAAUGUUAUCACGGGAGACACACGGCGGGUGCUAACGUCCGUCGUGAAGAGGGAAACAACCCAGACCGCCAGCUAAGGUCCCAAAGUCAUGGUUAAGUGGGAAACGAUGUGGGAAGGCCCAGACAGCCAGGAUGUUGGCUUAGAAGCAGCCAUCAUUUAAAGAAAGCGUAAUAGCUCACUGGUCGAGUCGGCCUGCGCGGAAGAUGUAACGGGGCUAAACCAUGCACCGAAGCUGCGGCAGCGACACUAUGUGUUGUUGGGUAGGGGAGCGU
rnacentral:rRNA from 1 species